rnacentral:rRNA from 1 species
UGGGGAAUUGUUCGCAAUGGGCGCAAGCCUGACGACGCAACGCCGCGUGGAGGAUGAAGGUCUUCGGAUUGUAAACUCCUGUUGAUCGGGACGAACAACCAUCGGGAUAACACCCCGGAGGUCUGACGGUACCGAUUGAGGAAGCCCCGGCUAACUCUGUGCCAGCAGCCGCGGUAAUACAGAGGGGGCAAGCGUUGUUCGGAAUUACUGGGCGUAAAGGGCGCGUAGGCGGCCGCCUAAGUCAGACGUGAAAUCCCUCGGCUCAACCGGGGAACUGCGUCUGAUACUGGGUGGCUUGAAUUCGGGAGAGGGAUGCGGAAUUCCAGGUGUAGCGGUGAAAUGCGUAGAUAUCUGGAGGAACACCGGUGGCGAAGGCGGCAUCCUGGACCGAGAUUGACGCUGAGGCGCGAAAGCCAGGGGAGCAAACGG